UUGAAGCUACAGAGAAAGCUCUUCAGCUGAAACCAAAGGAUCCCAAAGUCAUAUCAGAGCUCUUUUUCACUAAAGGAAACCAGCUAAGGGAACAGAAUCUCCUUGACAAGGCUUUUGAGAGCUAUAAACGGGCUGUGGAGCUCAACCCAGACCAAGCACAAGCUUGGAUGAACAUGGGAGGCAUUGAGCACAUCAAGGGGAGCUACGUCACUGCCCGUGGCUACUAUGAGAAAGCUUUACAGCUGGUUCCAAACAGCAAGCUGCUGAAGGAGAAUCUGGCCAAACUGGACCGCUUGGAGAAACGAUUUCAGGAGAUCCAGGAGAAAGACCAAACAUAGCAUUCAGUCACCAGUGGAAAGAAGCCCAUAUCCCUUGGAGACAAGUAUAGUGGAAGCCUCUUGCUCCAAGGGAUGCUGAAGGAGCUUUGAUAGGACUUGACUACAGGAGGCAAAUUUUGAAUGCAUGCUUAUGUUUGACUGACAUUACAGGAGACACUCAGUGCCUGUUGCACAUGCUGGAGAAUGAUGGAAUACUUCCCUUUAAUCAAGAUUUAUGUUUAGGCUGAACCCAUUUUGAUCACACCAGGAUUAUGGGUGGGAUGUGUACCUUCAAUAUCUUGGUUGUCACUGGGGAAACCGUGGAGACAAAGCACUCAUCCAUUGUGGCAGGGCUGAAGUAGUACUUCCUGUUACCCAGCACAAGCUCACCUCAUCCACAUUAAGUACCACUGAUGGGCUUUGUUGAAGUGCUGACAGGUCCAUCUGAGCCAGGAAGUGGUCACAUAACAGUCACAUAAGAAGGUUUCAAGGGGUUGACGUUGAAGAAGUGGUGGCCACUCUUACAGCUCUAAAUGUGACUUGGAAAUGAUUCUAAAGAAAGGGAAAACGGUGUCUGAGUAUCACCCUGGAAGGAUGAUUCUACAAGUAGAACAAAUGAUCCUUUGCAGGAAAACCUCACCUGAAUGUUUUACUUGUAAGAUAGUAGUAAUUCAGGGUCAGGCUUUAACCUUUGCCCUUCCCCUGCAGGCCAAAUUAUGACUACUCCGGAAAAAAAAUAAAUAGAAAAAGGAAGCGUCCUAAGGCAAUGGGAAGCUCUAGGAUUGCCUGUCCCUCCUCCCAGUCCCCAUAAGCAACCAAACAAUGGGUCUGGUCAAUAUAGGAGGUAAAGUAGAGCCACAGAGAGAUUAGGGAAGAUUCCUAGCCUGGAAAGGUACUAAGGAGGCUUUUGUGUGUGUGUACAGGGGCAAGGCCCAUGCACCAUGGUGAUGACGCUCACAAAACACUUUGUCCGAGUGUUCUCGUGCCCUCCCAAAAAAGAUACAGAAAAUUAACUAUAGCUGAUCAGUCAUAAAUCUCUAUUUUUAAAUACUAAAGUGGGAAAAAAAAAUUCUUUUCAGAGUUGGGGCUUUUAUUUUUGAGCUGUAUUUAUUUAACUUAUAAUAAUCAAAUGAUUAAUAUAUUUUCUCUGUGUUAUACAAAUUGGGUGGUAUCCUUCACAGCUGGCUGCCUAGCUGGGCAUUGUGACUUGUGUUACCUGAAGUUAGGAAAACACAGUACCACCAAGGUGUGCUUGAGAAACUCCUCCAGCGAUGCUUCAGGGCACACUGGAACGUACUGGUCCCUGGAAAACCAGCACUGCUACUGCCUCCACCAUGGUUUGUACCAGUUCAGAGGGCACCGGUGCCACCAUGCUCACUGCCACGAUUUAGACGUCAGAGUAGGUCAGCAGUUUGUUCCUCUUUGCAGUGGGAAGCUGCUGUGAGAGUUGUUCUAUGUGAGCUUGAUUGUGGACAGUCUCUGCCAAAGAGGCACAGGGUUUGCCAUUAUGAGUAAGGGACAGUUCAGAUGAGGAAUGUGAUGCCUUUGUAGCAUGGUAGGAAAAGCCUGCGUGGCAGUGACCCAGCCAGCACCAACUAACCCAGGUGCCAGCUGGGUCAGCAACCACUUUCGCAUGUCUCUUAUGCUCAUGGACUUGCUGACCAUGUUUCUGCAGGUCCUCAGUGCAGGUGGUAUGCUGGAUGCUCUGCAUGGAGCAGUUUAACACAGGCUGGGCACUGCCAAGAAGGCUGGGACAAGAUCAGGUGAUGCCAGCAGAGUCCCACGGGUUGGGGAAAACAAAUCUUGAAUGACCUCUGAGAGCAGUCAGUUUCCCACCAUGCACUUCAAAGUUGUAGAUGGUUCAUUGCCAGGGUGUUCAGAGGUACCUAGACCAUAAAGCUGUCUGCCUCUCUCCAAGGUGAGCCUGCCUUUGGGGCAGCUUCACCAGAGACUCGUGUGGCCAGGCUAGCAGGCUGCCUGCAGCACCACUGCAUGGAGGCACAUGUUGUGGUUGGCAGAGCAGUGCCAUGCAAAGCCCCCUGCAGAGGAGACAUCUGCAGAGUGUGGCUGAAGCAUGGGUGGGGGGAGAAAUGUCUAAUUUAAAAAUAUGUAUCAGCUAUAAACUUUGCCUCAGAAAGUUAUAUUAAAUAAAUACUAUAUAUUCUACAAGCCCCACAGCUUUAAAUUGUGGCAAACAAAACAUAUUUUUUUCAGAUACAGAAGUUGUAUUUUUUAUAGCAAUGCUUUGUGAGGGGGAAGACUUAGGUUUGUGGUUUUAGCUUUGGCUUAAAUCUUAGUUUGUCAUUCCUGAGAGACCUGGUAGAAGUUAUUGUCUCAUACUCAUCCUACAACCUGAUCAAAGCUAUCCUGACCUCCUAAAACCAGGGCACACC